rnacentral:rRNA from 1 species
UCUUCCCCUUGGGGGAGGGGAGGCAUGGGCACGCCUUCUCUUUCAUCCACACGCACCUGUGCAUUUGUGAGAUGGAGGGCUGGAACUUUCCUUUCUAACCUUCCAUCUGCUAUUACACAAACUCAAUUUAAUUUAAACUGAAUGUAAUUGAUGUAACACAUCUAAUACUAAGUUUCAACAACGGAUCUCUUGGCUCUCGCAUCGAUGAAGAACGCAGCGAAAUGCGAUAAGUAAUGUGAAUUGCAGAAUUCAGUGAAUCAUCGAAUAUUUGAACGCAUCUUGCGCUCCUUGGUAUUCCUUGGAGCAUGCCUGUUUGAGUAUCAUGAAAUUCUCAAAGUAAAUCUUUUGUUAAUUCAAUUGGUUAACUUUGGAUUUGGAGGCUCUGUGGAUUUUUACAAUCCACUCCUCUUGAAUACAUUAGCUGGAUCUCAGUAUAUACUUGGUUCCACUCGGUGUGAUAAGUAUCACUCGCCGAGGACACCACCUGUCGAAAGGUGUGGCCAAGGAAUACAGAUGAGCCGCUUCCAAUAGUCUAUUGAAUUAGACAAUUUAUUUUAAGAUCUGAUCUCAAAUCAGGUAGGACUACCCGCUGAACUUAAGCAUAUCAAUAAGCGGAGGAAAAGAAACUAACAAGGAUUCCCCUAGUA